GUGAGGAAUAUUGGACAAUGGGCGGGAGCCUGAACCAGCCAAGUCGCGUGAAGGAAGAAGGAUCUAUGGUUCGUAAACUUCUUUUGCAGGGGAAUAAAGUGCAGGACGUGUCCUGUUUUGUAUGUACCCUGAGAAUAAGGAUCGGCUAACUCCGUGCCAGCAGCCGCGGUAAUACGGAGGAUCCGAGCGUUAUCCGGAUUUAUUUGUUUUAAAUGGUGCGUAGGUGGUUUGAUAAGUCAGCGGUGAAAGUUUGCAGCUUAACUGUAAAAAUGCCGUUGAAACUGUCGGACUUGAGUGUAAAUGAGGUAGGAGGAAUGCGUGGUGUAGCGGUGAAAUGCAUAGAUAUCACGCAGAACUCCGAUUGCGAAGGCAGCUUACUAAGCUACAACUGACACUGAAGCACGAAAGCGUGGGGAUCAAACAGGAUUAGAUACCCUUGUAGUCC
rnacentral:rRNA from 1 species